rnacentral:rRNA from 2 species
GACGAACCGUGCGAACGUUGUUCGGAAUCACUGGGCUUAAAGGGCGCGUAGGCGGGCUGUCCAGUCUGGGGUGAAAUCCCACGGCUCAACCGUGGAACUGCCUCAGAUACUGACGGCCUCGAGGGAGAUAGGGGCAUGCGGAACUGUAGGUGGAGCGGUGAAAUGCGUUGAUAUCUACAGGAACUCCGGUGGCGAAGGCGGCGUGCUGGAUCUCUUCUGACGCUGAGGCGCGAAAGCUAGGGGAGCAAACGGG